rnacentral:rRNA from 1 species
AGGACGAACGCUGGCGGCGUGCUUAACACAUGCAAGUCGAGCGGAAAGGCCCUUCGGGGUACUCGAGCGGCGAACGGGUGAGUAACACGUGGGCAACCUGCCCCUAGCUCUGGGAUAACUCCGGGAAACCGGUGCUAAUACCGGAUAUGACCUCAAUUGGCAUCCUUUGAGGUGGAAAGAUUUAUUGGCUAGGGAUGGGCCCGCGGCCUAUCAGCUUGUUGGUGGGGUAAUGGCCUACCAAGGCGACGACGGGUAGCCGGCCUGAGAGGGCGACCGGCCACACUGGGACUGAGACACGGCCCAGACUCCUACGGGAGGCAGCAGUGGGAAUAUUGCGCAAUGGGCGAAAGCCUGACGCAGCGACGCCGCGUGAGGGAUGACGGCCUUCGGGUUGUAAACCUCUUCAGCAGGACGAAGCGAAGUGACGGUACCUGCAGAAGAAGCGCCGGCCAACUACGUGCCAGCAGCCGC